rnacentral:rRNA from 1 species
AUUGAACGCUGGCGGCAGGCCUAACACAUGCAAGUCGAGCGAGCGGCGGACGGUUUAGUAAUGUCUGUGAAACUGCCUGAUGGAGGGGGAUAACUACUGGACACGGUAGCUAAUACCGCAUACCAUCAGAUGUGCCCAGAUGGGAUUAGCUCGUAGGUGGGGUAACGGCUCACCUAGGCGACGCUCCCUAGCUGGUCUGAGAGGAUGACCAACCACACUGGAACUGAGACACGGUCCAGACUCCUACGGGAGGCAUCAGUGGGGAAUAUGGCACAAUGGGCGCAAGCCUGAUGCAGCCAUGCCGCGUGUGUGAAGAAGGCCUUCGGGUUGUAAAGCACUUUCAGCGGGGAGGCGUUACCCGCAGAAGAAGCACCGGCUAACUCCGUGCCAGCAGCCGCGGUAAUAC